GGUGGCUCAGUGGUAGAGCACUUGCUUUGCAUGCCAGAGGUCCUGGGUUCGAUUCCUGAGCACCA
rnacentral:tRNA from 1 species